rfam:Octopus bimaculoides Scaffold18444_contig_58, whole genome shotgun sequence.
GGUUCUAUGGUGUAAUGGUUAGCACUCUGGACUUUGAAUCCAGCGAUCCGAGUUCAAGUCUCGGUAGAACCU